GGGUUGGGUUGAUUUGGAUUGAAUCGAAUCUCACAUUCCUGCUCCUCCUUAAUUAAAUUUUGUUUUCAAAAUUUACAUACUUAAGUUUGUGACAAGAUGAGGAUAUCUUUCUUUGAUCUCGUCCUCCAACUUCCAAGUAAUUUCUUUUUCAGUGUGGUUACUCCACUGAACCUUGGCGUAAGGGAUGGUAUGGCGUCUUAGAACUUGAUCCUUUCUAUCUACUAUCUAUAUUACCUACUCAUCAUAAAUCAGUUCUUCUUUAAGCUACAAAGGUUUAUACUCU
rnacentral:lncRNA from 1 species